GUCUAUGGCCAUACCACCCUAAAUGUGCCCACUCUCACUUAAGUUAAGCAGGGUAGGCCUGUGUAAUACUUGGAUGGGAGAAAUGUCUUUUGGGAGACAUCUUCAGAUGCGUAUGUU
rnacentral:rRNA from 1 species